rnacentral:rRNA from 1 species
UACGGAGGGUGCAAGCGUUACCCGGAAUCAUUGGGCGUAAAGCGUCCGCAGGCGGUAUGUUAAGUAAGAUGUUAAAUUUUGCAGCUCAACUGUAAAUCUAUAUCUUAAACUGGCAAACUAGAGUAUUGGAGAGGUGCGUAGAAUUCUGUGUGUAGGGGUAAAAUCCGUAGAUACACAGAGGAAUACCAAAAGCGAAGGCAGCGCACUGGCCAAUUACUGACGCUCAGGGACGAAAGCGUGGGUAGCGAACGGGAUUAGAUACCCCCGUA